rnacentral:rRNA from 1 species
AUGGGCGCAGCCUGACGCAGCGACGCCGCGUGGGGGAUGAAGGUCUUCGGAUUGUAAACCCCUUUCGGGAGGGAAGAUGGAGCGAGCAAUCGUUCGGACGGUACCUCCAGAAGCAGCCACGGCCAACUUCGUGCCAGCAGCCGCGGUAAUCCGCGGUAAU